CCCUUAGAUGUCCUGGGCCGCACGCGCGCUACACUGAUGCAUUCAACGAGUAUUUCCUUGGCCGAGAGGCCUGGGCAAUCUUUUAAACCUGCAUUGUGAUAGGGAUAGAUUAUUGCAAUUAUUAAUCUUGAACGAGGAAUUCCUAGUAAACGCAAAUCAUCAAUUUGCAUUGAUUACGUCCCUGCCCUUUGUACACACCGCCCGUCGCACCUACCGAUUGAAUGGUCCGGUGAAAUCUCGGGAUUGUGGCCAGUUCACUUUAUUGGGAGUUGGCUGCGAGAACUUGCUUAAACCUUAUCAUUUAGAGGAAGGUGAAGUCGUAACA
rnacentral:rRNA from 1 species